UAUUCAAAUUGUAACCAAUGUCACUGCAGGCUCAUCGUCCUCGUGUUAUCGUCAACGGAAUAAGACGAAUGAGAACCUUCCGUUACUUUUGGUGCCAACAUUGCCAACGUACUAUAAGGAUUGCGUCUUCCAACCCAUAUGCAAUUCUAUGCCCAUUUUGCUCAACUGAGUUCAAUCAUGAGCUUGAUAUUCUAAGCCCUAGGCUUGUCAAUGACCACCUUACAUUGUCCCCAGCUGCCCAGUUAUUGCAAACCUUGUCGCUCAUCCUCGAUCCAAUGCACCGAAGAGCUCGAGAGCAAACAGAAAACGAAGAUCAUGGACGGUCUUGGAUCACCCUCCAAUUUGAUAGACCACCUCGCUCAUCGCCAAGACAAAUUGUUCCCCCUCUGGUUCCUCUAGCAAAUAAUAGCGAAGAUGUGGUAAAUGAUGUCACUGGGGGCACCUGGACGGUUGAAAAUGACUGCCCAGGUCCCCCUCCAGCACCUGCUUCAGCCAUUCAGGCUUUGCCCUUGGUGAAAGUCACGGAAGGGCAGAUGAGGAACGAACCCACUUGCCCCGUGUGCAAGGAAGUGUUCGCGGUUGGUGGGGAAGUGAGGGAGAUGCCAUGCAAGCAUCUCUACCAUUCUGAUUGCAUACUCCCAUGGCUUCACAUACACAAUACUUGUCCAGUUUGCCGCUAUGAGCUGCCAGAAGAAGGCACUUCUUGUGACAACAAUAACAAUGAGUUUGAGGAAUAUAGUGAUGAAAAUAAUCUCGUAGAAAGCAUAAAAUGGUGGUGGAAGCAAUUCCUAUGCUUGUGGCCAUUUCGCGCAUUGGAUAAUUGGAGGCAACGUUACCUUGAUAACCAACAAGACAGAACCUGGUGGACCUCUUGGAUCUUUCUAUAGCCAGCUUAGAGGUAAAAACAUAUUUGCAUAAAUUUGUGAAUAUUACUUGCUUUUCAAGCACUCAAUGUAAAGAAGAUAUUAAAGUUCAACAGUUUCUUUUUAGGACAAAUUCUGCACUUUGGGGCACUUCCUAAUUUAAUUUUAUGGGAUUUCUUUAUCAAAGAAUUGCAAUGGUUCGAUACAAAUAAAAAUAAAUAAAAAUUUGAGGAAUUGUGUUGCUUCCGACCUCAAACAGAAUUGUACAUGAAUAAAAGAAUGGCAUCUCUUGCCUCAUUUAUAAAUUGUUUCUAUGUCUA